GAGUUUGAUCUUGGCUCAGGAUGAACGCUGGCGGCGUGCUUAACACAUGCAUGUCGAACGGAACUUGUAAGUGGAAGUCUUCGGAUGGAAACUUACUUGUUUAGUGGCGGACGGGUGAGUAACGCGUGGGUAACCUGCCUUACACAGGGGGAUAACAGCCGGAAACGGCUGCUAAUACCGCAUAAGCGCACAGCUUCGCAUGGAGUGGUGUGAAAAAGAUUUUAUCGGUGUAAGAUGGACCCGCGUCUGAUUAGCUAGUUGGUGGGGUAACGGCCUACCAAGGCAACGAUCAGUAGCCGGCUUGAGAGAGUGAACGGCCACAUUGGGACUGAGGCACGGCCCAAACUCCUACGGGAGGCAGGCAGUGGGGAAUAUUGCACAAUGGGCGAAAGCCUGAUGCAGCGACGCCGCGUGAGUGAAGAAGUAUUCGGUAUGUAAAGCUCUAUCAGCAGGGACGAAUAAUGACGGUACCUGACUAAGAAGCCCGGCUAACUACGUGACAGCAGCCGCCGCCGU
rnacentral:rRNA from 1 species